CUUCGCAGCUCAUUUGCAUGAGCGGUCUGCUUGGCCGCACCAUCACGUCUUCAUAAGCCUGGACUCUUUUCACACACUGGGCUGGAAAAGUGCAUCAGGAUGUGGCCUGCACCAGUGCUUCUGCUCGUCCAGGCGGCUCUGCUGAUUCAAGGAUCUUCCGCCAAUGAUUUUCUGACCCAGACAGACAAAGUCAAGUCUGUCACUCUUGGUGGGACGGUGACCAUCGGCGCCACAGGGAGUUCAAACAUUGGUGAUAAUCUCAGUUGGUACCAAGUGAAACCUGGACAGCCUCCCAAACCUCUGAUCUACUGGGCAUCAUCCCGCUCCUCUGGAACACCAUCUCGAUUCAGUGGCACACAAUCUGGCUCUGACUACACUCUGACUAUCAGUGGUGUUCAGGCAGAAGAUGUCGCUGAUUACUACUGUCUUGGCUAUCAUGGCAGUGGAAGGUAUACACGGUGAUUGAGAGCCGUACAAAAACCUCCUUUGGUUUGAGUGAAGUGAAAGUGGAGAAUGAGGAUGACUGGUCC